ACUAAGAUAUUUCUCCUGAAGG
rnacentral:miRNA from 1 species